GCUCCAAUGGCGCAAUGGUAGCGCGCGAGACUUCUAUCCCCCUUCUGAAGUCCAAUCUCGAGGCUGUGGGUUCGAGUCCCACUUGGAGUG